GCCAGAGCCUGCCGCGACGAUUUGGAAAGCGCCCCGCCAGGCUGCGGGGUGGCGGGAGGGUCCCUCAAACGCUGACGACCCAGCCUUCGGUGGAGGUGUUGUGGGGAAGUCUCGCUGUUGCACCCCCUACACCUACCCCCGAAGACUGUUUCCAUGCUUUCAAUAAAUCCACCAAUGCAAAAAUUUCCCUUUACGCACUCCAUCCCACCCCUGUCCUUUCUCCACAACUUUCAGUUUUCUUAGUCAGAGGCUAGCAUUUUCGCGGAUGAAUGGAAAAUGUUUAAAAAGGAAUCGCGAUGCGAGCUUCUCUCACCGUUUGUGUUCCCGCUUACUGUAACUUCAUGGACAUUGUUACACAAAAGAAAGACGUGAAAAUGUCACUGCGUAACUUUCACAACCGGUGGAUUUUCCUGGAUAUGCUUACAGAGAUGUCUGACAACCAUCAGAGGCAGCCAAAGUAUUGUGGACAGUUGACACAAUGUCAGUCUGUGGCAUCUUCACUGCCAAGUGAUAUUUCCACUCUAGAUAGCUAAACCCGAUUUUUUAAAAACUCACCUUUGGUAUAUAACAUCAGUUGGAAACUUCACACUGUUUUAGUUCUUCACUCUAAAGUGGAUAUCAACUUUAGUAACUGAUGACAGAUCCCAGCUUCCACAGUAAAAAUAGCCUCUGGUUUGGCCUGAUGUGUUUCCUCUUGCUAAGGAAGGGACUCUGGAGCAAACCAGCCUUGCAUAGAUUUAAGGAGAACAUUAUUCAUAUUUUGCACCUAUUACACCAUUGUAUUUGCAAUAAACUUUAAGGAAAAGGAUUGAAUGUGACAUAAGAAGUUAACAUUUUUUGUAUUUCUUGCCCCAAAAUAGUGCUUAUCAUUUUUUAAAAAUUGCUAUAUGGUUACCCAUAAUAAUCUUACUUUCUAUAUCUAACUAGUUUAAAUGGUAC
rnacentral:lncRNA from 1 species